AAGAGGGAACCUGGUGCGAGUCCAGGACUGCCUCGCAGCGGUGAGCGGGAACGACCGCCGUCACACGCACUGGGCCCGAGCGGCCCGGGAAGCGACGGCCAGUAGGAAGACCCUCCACGGGAGAGGCCCGCGAGUCCGAAGACCU
rnacentral:ncRNA from 2 species